rfam:Lachnospiraceae bacterium A2 genomic scaffold acPFL-supercont1.1, whole genome shotgun sequence.
AAGAGCCGUGUGCGGGAAAGCCGCACGCACGGAUCUGUGAGGGGCUGGCAUCGUGAGGUGCCUGUCUACUCGAC